AAAUUAAAUUUUAUGUUUUGAAAACAUAAUGUGGAAUUAUAAUUCCUUAAUUUA
rnacentral:tRNA from 1 species